rnacentral:rRNA from 1 species
GGUACCCUACGGGGCGCAGCAGUGGGGAAUAUUGCACAAUGGGGGAAACCCUGAUGCAGCGACGCCGCGUGAGUGAAGAAGUAUUUCGGUAUGUAAAGCUCUAUCAGCAGGGAAGAAAAAAGACGGUACCUGACUAAGAAGCCCCGGCUAACUACGUGCCAGCAGCCGCGGUAAUACGUAGGGGGCAAGCGUUAUCCGGAUUUACUGGGUGUAAAGGGAGCGUAGCCGGCGCGGCAAGUCUGAAGUGAAAGGCAGUGGCUUAACCCAUGAACUGCUUUGGAAACUGCCAUGCUAGAGGGCUGGAG